AUUGAACGCUGGCGGCAUGCUUUACACAUGCAAGUCGAACGGUAACAGGCCUUCGGGUGCUGACGAGUGGCGAACGGGUGAGUAAUGCAUCGGAACGUACCCAGAGGUGGGGGAUAACGCAGCGAAAGCUGUGCUAAUACUGCAUGUGAUCUGAGGAUGAAAGCGGGGGACCGAGCAGCAAUGUUUGGCCUCGCGCCUUUGGAGCGGCCGAUGUCGGAUUAGCUAGUUGGUGGGUAAAGGCCUACCAAGGCGACGAUCCGUAGCUGGUCUGAGAGGACGACCAGCCACACUGGGACUGAGACACGGCCCAGACUCCUACGGGAGGCAGCAGUGGGGAAUUUUGGACAAUGGGCGCAAGCCUGAUCCAGCAAUGCCGCGUGCGGGAAGAAGGCCUUCGGGUUGUAAACCGCUUUUGGCAGGAACGAAACGGUGUCCGCUAAUACCGGGCGCUAAUGACGGUACCUGCAGAAUAAGCACCGGCUAACUACGUG
rnacentral:rRNA from 1 species